AUACCGGUUUAACUUCGUGGUGAUAUGACACAUAUUACAUUCUUUAUCACCGGGAGUAAAACUGGUAUAGGAUCUGCGACUCGC
rnacentral:pre_miRNA from 14 species